CCAGCCAAGCCGCGUGAGGGAAGAAGGUACAGCGUAUCGUAAACCUCUUUGUCGGGAACAAAGGCGGGGACUAGUCCCCGGAUGAGGGUACCUGAAAGAAAAAGCAUCGGCUAACUCCGUGCC
rnacentral:rRNA from 1 species